rnacentral:rRNA from 1 species
GUUGAUCCUGCCGGAGGUCACUGCUAUCCAAAUUCGACUAAGCCAUGCAAGUCUAACAGAAAUGUUGGCGCAAAGCUCAAUAACACGUAGAUAAUCUGCCCUUGGGUGGGGAAUAAACUCGGGAAACUGAGCUCAAUACCCCAUAGAGGUUGUAUGCUGGAAUGCUUCAACCUCCAAAGCCUCGGCGCCCAAGGAUGAGUCUGCGGCCGAUCAGGUUGUUGGUAAGCUAAAGCCUUAUCAAGCCUAUAAUCGGUGCGGGCCUUGAAAGAGGAAGCCCGGAGAUGGAUUCUGAGACAACAAUCCAGGUCCUACGGGACGCAGCAGGCGCGAAACUUUCGCAAUGCACGCAAGUGUGACGAAGGAACUUGGAGUGACUUCUCGAAUUUUCGAGGAGUCUUUUGUCAAGUGUAAAAAGCUUGGCGAAUAAGGGGUGGGUAACACAGGUGCCAGCCGCCGCGGUAAUACCUGGGCCCCAAGUGGUGACCGCUUUUAUUGGGUUUAAAGCGUUCGUAGCCGGCUUGUUAAGUCCCUAAUGAAAUUCGGCAGGCCU